UAAGACCUGUGGAAUUCUAAACACAUCUCUUGAAUGCAACUCAAACACUUUAAUUUAAGCUAAGGCCUC
rnacentral:tRNA from 1 species